rnacentral:rRNA from 1 species
AUUGAACGCUGGCGGCAUGCCUUACACAUGCAAGUCGAACGGCAGCACGGGGGCAACCCUGGUGGCGAGUGGCGAACGGGUGAGUAAUGCAUCGGAACGUGCCCAGUAGUGGGGGACAACCAGUCGAAAGAUUGGCUAAUACCGCAUACGACCUAUGGGUGAAAGCGGGGGACCGUAAGGCCUCGCGCUAUUGGAGCGGCCGAUGUCUGAUUAGCUAGUUGGUGAGGUAAAAGCUCACCAAGGCGACGAUCAGUAGCUGGUCUGAGAGGACGACCAGCCACACUGGGACUGAGACACGGCCCAGACUCCUACGGGAGGCAGCAGUGGGGAAUUUUGGACAAUGGGCGCAAGCCUGAUCCAGCCAUGCCGCGUGCGGGAAGAAGGCCUUCGGGUUGUAAACCGCUUUUGGCAGGAACGAAACGGCGACUCUUAAUACGGGUCGUUAAUGACGGUACCUGCAGAAUAAGCACCGGCUAACUACGUGCCAGCCGCCGCCGUAAAAC